rnacentral:rRNA from 2 species
GGCGUGCCUAAUACAUGCAAGUCGAGCGAACUGAUUAGAAGCUUGCUUCUAUGACGUUAGCGGCGGACGGGUGAGUAACACGUGGGCAACCUGCCUGUAAGACUGGGAUAACUUCGGGAAACCGAAGCUAAUACCGGAUAGGAUCUUCUCCUUCAUGGGAGAUGAUUGAAAGAUGGUUUCGGCUAUCACUUACAGAUGGGCCCGCGGUGCAUUAGCUAGUUGGUGAGGUAACGGCUCACCAAGGCAACGAUGCAUAGCCGACCUGAGAGGGUGAUCGGCCACACUGGGACUGAGACACGGCCCAGACUCCUACGGGAGGCAGCAGUAGGGAAUCUUCCGCAAUGGACGAAAGUCUGACGGAGCAACGCCGCGUGAGUGAUGAAGGCUUUCGGGUCGUAAAACUCUGUUGUUAGGGAAGAACAAGUACGAGAGUAACUGCUCGUACCU